UUUUUUUUGUGUUUUU
rnacentral:sRNA from 1 species